rnacentral:lncRNA from 1 species
AGAUGGAAUGGAAGCCUCUCUCAUCACUUCAAAGGUAGGUGUUUUAUCGCCCACGUUAUAAAUGAGGAGGCAGAAGCACAGAGAUGUCAGGACACUUCGAUGGAUGCCAAGCUUGUGACUGGCAAGGCUGAGAGAGGAAGCUGGGGACCACAAGACCCUUCUAACAUAGGAGAGAGCCUGCCAAGGUCAAUGAGAAGAAGACACAAAGGAACAGAUCAAGAGCCAAUUCUUGACAGUUGAGUUUUCUAAAUAGGUUCAAAA